GUAACACAAGUAGGGCUUCCUCUUCAGGGUUCUGAGCGUGUCUGCAUGUAGAGGUAAUGAUGCUCUAACCAGCAAGCAAACAUGAAGAGCUAGGCCAUGAAAAGGUAGAAAAGGACACCAGCAUCAGAAGAGUCGUCUUGGUUCUCAACAAUGUCAAGAACCUUUCCGUGUCCGCUCUGAGUUCUCUAACAUGAGGCAUGUGGUGUUCAAAGUCGGCAUCUUGAUGGACAACAGUGAGAAGCCUGUGAUGUUGGAAGUGAGUCAACACCCAUGAGACUGGUCUAGAGGAUCUGCGCCAUGAAGUGAUGCCCACAGCCUCUCCAGCCCUCAUAAGACCUUGGCUGGACUCUUCCUGUAGCCAAGCGGCCUCUGUAAUCAAAGCUUUACCCUAGGCUUGGGCUUGCUCAUGCAACAGGUAAAUGACUUUAUUGCAACCAA
rnacentral:lncRNA from 1 species